UACGUAGGGUGCGAGCGUUAAUCGGAAUUACUGGGCGUAAAGCGUGCGCAGGCGGUUUGGUAAGACAGAUGUGAAAUCCCCGGGCUCAACCUGGGAACUGCAUUUGGGACUGCAAGGCUAGAGUACGGCAGAGGGGGGGUAGAAUUCCUGGUGUAGCAGUGAAAUGCGUAGAUAUCAGGAGGAACACCGGCGGCGAAGGCGGCCCUCUGGAUCGUUGCUGACGCUGAUACGCGAAAGCGUGGGGAGCAAACAGG
rnacentral:rRNA from 1 species